UGACUAAAUCAGGAGGCCUGAAUAGGCCUGAUGACCGUGUCCAUUAGAGAAAGACCCACUAAAAUUCCAAUAUUGCGAGACUUCUUGGCUAACAUCUUAGACUAACCCACUUGCAUAACCCCACUAACUACUUUAUAUAAUCUGGCACUUUAUUGAACCUUUUUCUUCCAGAAAUCAUAUGCGCAAACAAAACCUGUAGAUCAUAAUUUAAUCCCCUAACAUAGAGUCGAAUCCUCUCUUUCUCAGUAGUCAACUACUACAGCCAACUGGUUGCAAAUUUUUACCCUAGCAUCAAUCGCGUAUAUGCCCAACGAGUAGUGAUGGAUGUGCAGCUUUGCCAAUUGUACGCAACUUUGCCAAUUAUUAAAGGGUUUAUUCUUCGCUAUUGUGGCUUCUUCCUUGGGUUACUGCAGAUUUGCCUUAAUCCCUGUUCAUCUCUGUCGAACGAGAAUUCGAGGUGCCUUUGGCCGUGUGCUCAUCAUGCUUUGCCUCCGAGCCACAUCCCGCACCUUUUGAGGUGCCUAGAUACCAGCCUAAAUGCAAAAGAUGACAUAGCCAGGUUUGUAGGGUCAGUUUUAGAUGUUUACUGGGAGCUUCCACCUGUGGUUGGUCCUUCAUUAACUCAUCAGACGAGAUAUGAUCCGGCUCGUGCAUCAAGUCCUAUUGUUGAUGAUGACAGUGGUAUGCAAAGAGGUUUCUGCAACCCGAUGUUGGAGUUGCGCACUUCAAUGCAGAGAGGGAUACGAAAGAGAAAUCGGGCUGGUGCAGUGAUCCACAUUUGCCUUCUUAUGCAGACUUGGCGAUGUGUUUGGCAUAUGAUUCAGGUAGUUUUUACACUUGAUAUCACUUCCUCUCCUCUCAAUUUAUGUUUCUGUAAUGUUAAGCUAAUGCUUGUGCUUUGAUUUGAUAUUUGGUUAUAGAAUGAUAUGGUGCAUGGAUGGGGAUUGGAUUUUGCAUUAAGAAGAUGUGUAGAGAUUUCUGAAGAUUGAAGUUACAAGUGAAGAUGCAAGUUUAGAAAAUACACAAACUCAUUAUUAUUGUACUAAGAACGUUACGUAAAACUUGACAUCAUAUUCUAGCUUGGGAUGUUAAUUGGUUAAGUUUUUUUGUUUAGCAAAUAUCAAAACUAUCAACAUCAUAUUCUAGCUCGGGAUAUUAAUCGGUUAAGUUUUUUUUGGUUUAGCAAA